UGUGAAUGAAUGGUUGUGCUCCUCUCUGU
rnacentral:piRNA from 1 species